rnacentral:lncRNA from 10 species
UGGCCCGCAAGCGCCGCGCGCAGCCCAGGUUCCCGCUCGCGCCUCUCCUUCCACACCUCCCUGCAAGCUGAAGGAGCCGGCUCCAGCCUUGGCCAGCUCAGAAAGGGGCUCCCACAGUGCAGCGGUGGGCUGAAGGGCUCCUCAAGCGCGGCCAGAGUGGGCGCCAAGGCCGAGGAGGCGCCGAGAGCGAGCGAGGGCGCACGCUGUCACCUCUCACAGCCUCCAUGAAGAGAAGAGCAGAAGAGUAGAGGAGCAGAAGAACGGCAGAGCAGCAGUGUGGUGCAGCAGCGAAGGAGACAAGAGAAGGAGUGUCGGAAUGUCAAGAGGAAUUUGGCUGGAGAUGGUUGGAGUGGAGAUCGGCCGCAGGAUGAACGAACUCCUUUGGAAGAUCAUCUUCCCACUCCAUCCCCUUUCCAGCUCCCCAUGCAUCCUUCUGAGAGCCACAUCCAUCUGGCAAUAAAAUUCCCCACAUUUACCAUC